AUGCUCUUCCUCUUCACAAAGUACUUAUCCAGGGGCAGCAAGAACGCGGCAGCCGGCGACGCCGACAGGAGGCAGAGGCAGAGGCAGAAGCAGAAGCAGCGCGAGAUGCCGGCGGCAUCGGCGUCGAAUGGGGCUGCGGACCGCGAGCACGGGUGCAUGCCCGGCUGCGUGCCGGUGCGCGCCAAGCGGACGGCCACGGUUACGACCGUCACGACCACGUCGGCGAGGACGUCGCGCCACAACUUCGUCAGGUCGGCCGCGUCGGGGCUCUUCCCCGGGGCGCCGGUGUUCACCAACCACGAGUCCCUCCCGCCGCUCCCCGAGGCCUACUCGGAGUUCGCCUCCGCGUUCCCGCAGUACGGCGGGCUUGCCGGCUCGGCGGACGCGAUCAGGGACGGGGAGUACCGGCACCUCGACCGCCACGUCUGCCUGGACUACAACGGGAUGAACCUCUUCUCCCACGCGCAGAUGAACUCGUCGCUGCCGUCCACGUCAGCUCCGGCGGAGCCGUCGGCGUGGCAGCCGCCCUUCUUCGACAUCGCGUACAGGUCCGCGAGCCUGCGGUCGCAGGUGCAGCAAUGUGGGGACGGCACGGCCGCGCAAUCCGCGGCGGGAGGCAUCAGCGGCGCCGUCACGAGGCGCAUCAUGGCGUCCCUUAAGAUCCCCGAGGACGAGUACACCAUGGUGUGCACGGCGAACCGGACCACGGCCUUCCGGCUGCUGGCGGAGUCCUACUCCUUCACUCCCGGCGGCGGCAGGAAGAAGCUGCUCUCCGUGUACGACUACGAGAGCGAGGCGGUGGGUGCCAUGGCUCAGUGCGCGCGCAGCCGCGGCGCGGAGGUCAUGAACGCGAGCUUCGCGUGGCCGAGCAUGCGCGUCCACGCCGCAGACCUCCGCAAAAAGCUGCUCCGUGGGCGGCGGCGGCAGCGCGGCCGCGGGCUCUUCGUGUUUCCGCUGGUGUCCCGGAUGACCGGCGCGAGGUACCCGUACCUCUGGAUGAGCGCCGCGGCGGAGCAGGGGUGGCACGUGGCGCUGGACGCGUGCGCGCUCGGCGCCAAGGACCUCGACACCCUCGGCCUCUCCCUCCUCCGCCCGGACUUCAUCGUCUGCAACUUCUUCAAGGUGUUCGGCGAGAACCCCUCGGGCUUCGCCGGGCUGUUCGUCAAGAAGGCCAGCCUCGGCGCGCUCGAGCGCUCCGCGGUCGCGCGCAGCAUCGGCAUCGUCAACAUCGUUCCGGCGCGGCGGUGGUCGCUUCGCGACGACUAUUCCACCGACCUGGAGCACUCGCUCACCUUCCCCAAAGCGGGCGACCCGCCAACGGCGGACGAUGUCGAUACCACCUGCUCAUUUUCCGGCCCGCUCAGCGCCACCGCCACCGGUCGCAGGACAGACGAGGCCGAGAACGGCGACACGCCGGAAAUUUGCGAGGUCGACCGUAGGCCAUCCGAAGCCGAAGAAGACAGUCGGCCAUGGCCGCCGCCGGGAGCAGCCGAAGCAGAGGAGGAGCGCAUGCUGGAGGUGGAGUGCAGGGGGCUGGACCACGCGGACGCCCUGGGCCUCAUCGCCAUCGGCAACCGGCUGCGGUGCAUCAGCAACUGGCUGGUGGUGGCGAUGCAGAAGCUGCGGCACCCGCACCCGGAGCACGGCGGCGGGAAGCAGCUGGUGCGGGUGUACGGGCCGCGCGUCAAGUUCGAGCGGGGGCCCUCGCUGGCGUUCAACGUGUACGACUGGAAGGGGGAGAAGGUGGCGCCGGCGCUGGUGCAGAAGCUUGCCGACCGGCAGGCCAUCUCCCUCACCUGCGGCUUCCUGCGCAACAUCUGGUUCGCCGAUAAGUACGAGGCCGACAGGAGCGCCGUUCUUGAGCAGGCAAGCGACGGCGGCGGCGAGGUGGGGAUCCACGUGGUGAAUGCGUCGCUGGGGUUCUUGAGCAACUUCGAGGACGCGUACAAGCUGUGGGCGUUCGUGGCCAAGUUCUUGGACGCCGACUUCGUGGAGAAGGAGAGGUGGAGGUACACGGCGCUCAACCAGAAGACCGUCGAAGUGUAG
rnacentral:rRNA from 1 species